GUGGGGAAUAUUGGACAAUGGGCGCAAGCCUGAUCCAGCAAUGCCGCGUGUGUGAAGAAGGUCUUCGGAUUGUAAAGCACUUUCGACAGGGACGAUGAUGACGGUACCUGUAGAAGAAGCCCCGGCUAACUUCGUGCCAGCAGCCGCGGUAAUACGAAGGGGGCUAGCGUUGCUCGGAAUUACUGGGCGUAAAGGGCGCGUAGGCGGUUCUAUCAGUCAGGCGUGAAAUUCCUGGGCUUAACCUGGGGGCUGCGCUUGAUACGGUAGGACUAGAGGAUGGAAGAGGGUCGUGGAAUUCCCAGUGUAGAGGUGAAAUUCGUAGAUAUUGGGAAGAACACCGGUGGCGAAGGCGGCGACCUGGUCCAUUACUGACGCUGAGGCGCGACAGCGUGGGGAGCAAACAGGAUUAGAUACCCGAGUAGUCC
rnacentral:rRNA from 1 species